rnacentral:rRNA from 1 species
AGAUGGUUUCGGCUAUCGCUUACAGAUGGGCCCGCGGUGCAUUAGCUAGUUGGUAGGGUAAUGGCCUACCAAGGCAACGAUGCAUAGCCGACCUGAGAGGGUGAUCGGCCACACUGGGACUGAGACACGGCCCAGACUCCUACGGGAGGCAGCAGUAGGGAAUCUUCCGCAAUGGACGAAAGUCUGACGGAGCAACGCCGCGUGUAUGAAGAAGGUUUUCGGAUCGUAAAGUACUGUUGUUAGAGAAGAACAAGGAUAAGAGUAACUGCUUGUCCCUUGACGGUAUCUAACCAGAAAGCCACGGCUAACUACGUGCCAGCAG